UGGGGAAUAUUGGACAAUGGGCGCAAGCCUGAUCCAGCCAUGCCGCGUGAGUGAUGAAGGCCCUAGGGUUGUAAAGCUCUUUCACCGGUGAAGAUAAUGACGGUAACCGGCGAAGAAGCCCCGGCUAACUUCGUGCCAGCAGCCGCGGUAAUACGAAGGGGGCUAGCGUUGUUCGGAUUUACUGGGCGUAAAGCGCACGUAGGCGGACUUUUAAGUCAGGGGUGAAAUCCCGGGGCUCAACCCCGGAACUGCCUUUGAUACUGGAAGUCUUGAGUAUGGUAGAGGUGAGUGGAAUUCCGAGUGUAGAGGUGAAAUUCGUAGAUAUUCGGAUGAACACCAGUGGCGAAGGCGGCUCACUGGACCAUUACUGACGCUGAGGUGCGAAAGCGUGGGGAGCAAACAGG
rnacentral:rRNA from 1 species